rnacentral:rRNA from 1 species
UCCUGGGGCUGAAGUAGGUCCCAAGGGUAUGGCUGUUCGCCAUUUAAAGUGGUACGCGAGCUGGGUUUAGAACGUCGUGAGACAGUUCGGUCCCUAUCUGCCGUGGGCGCUGGAGAACUGAGGGGGGCUGCUCCUAGUACGAGAGGACCGGAGUGGACGCAUCACUGGUGUUCGGGUUGUCAUGCCAAUGGCACUGCCCGGUAGCUAAAUGCGGAAGAGAUAAGUGCUGAAAGCAUCUAAGCACGAAACUUGCCCCGAGAUGAGUUCUCCCUGACUCCUUGAGAGUCCUGAAGGAACGUUGAAGACGACGACGUUGAUAGGCCGGGUGUGUAAGCGCAGCGAUGCGUUGAGCUAACCGGUACUAAUGAACCGUGAGGCUUAACCUUACAACGCCGAAGCUGUU